UGCGAGUCGAUGUAGCAAUACAUGGCGUACUGCUCAGUAACACGUGGACAACCUACCCUUAGGUCGGGGAUAAACCCGGGAAACUGGGUAUAAUACCCGAUAGAUCUCGACUGCUGGAAUGCAUCGAGAUCCAAAGCUCCGGCGCCUAAGGAUGGGUCUGCGGCCUAUCAGGUAGUAGUGGGUGUAGCGUACCUACUAGCCUACGACGGGUACGGGUUGUGAGAGCAAGAGCCCGGAGAUGGAUUCUGAGACACGAAUCCAGGCCCUACGGGGUGCAGCAGGCGCGAAAACUUUACAAUGCUGGAAACAGCGAUAAGGGGACCUCGAGUGCCAGGUUACAAAUCUGGCUGUCGUGAUGCCUAAAAAGCAUUGCGUAGCAAGGGCCGGGCAAGACCGGUGCCAGCCGCCGCGGUAACACCGGCGGCUCGAGUGGUAACCGUUAUUAUUGGGUCUAAAGGGUCUGUAGCCGGCCGGAUAAGUCUCUUGGGGAAUCCAGCAGCUCAACUGUUGGGCUUUCAGGAGAUACUGUCUGGCUCGAGGCCGGGAGGGGUGAGAGGUACUUCAGGGGUAGGGGUGAAAUCUUGUAAUCCUUGAAGGACCACCAGUGGCGAAGGCGUCUCACCAGAACGGACCUGACGGCAAGGGACGAAAGCUAGGGGCACGAACCGGAUUAGAUACCCGGGUAGUCCCAGCCGUAAACGAUGCUCGCUAGGUGUCAGGCAUGGCGCGACCGUGUCUGGUGCCGUAGGGAAGCCGUGAAGCGAGCCACCUGGGAAGUACGGCCGCAAGGCUGAACUUAG
rnacentral:rRNA from 1 species